rnacentral:lncRNA from 9 species
UUAUUUUGAAGAAGAGGGUCAGACAGUCUGUCCCUAGUUGAAUGCUACUGUCAUCAGAGUGAAGGAAGCCAGUUUCAGUGGCUGCAGUGUGCCUCAUUCGGCAGCUGGUUGCUUAGGAGCAAAAUGAUUAUCGUCUGGGAGCAGCAGUGUUCAACUGUGAAUUUUGUAGGCUAUCUCCAAAAUACCCCUUGCCCUGUGAAGAUGCUGACAGAGAUAACAGUGGAGCUCCAAUAUGGUAAAGGAAUCAGCCUGUAGGCAAAGCAUAUGUUGAGGCUGCUGGUAGUGCCUAGAUGAGGGUGCAUGUACACGUGGGAGGGGUCUGAGCACCUCUCUGGAUGCCAACAACACCCCCCUCCCCGCCCCCAAGAGAAAGGAUGGUUAUCUUGGAGAAGAUAUUUGAUGUUGGUGUUGAAGAAAGUUCAGCAAUGGCUUGGCUAUGAAAUGAGAUGA